GACAGAGGGUGCGAACGUUGUUCGGAAUUACUGGGCGUAAAGCGCAUGUAGGCGGCAGCGCAAGUCGGGCGUGAAAUCCCACGGCUCAACCGUGGAAGUGCACUCGAAACUGCGCAGCUAGAGUCCUGGAGAGGAAGGUGGAAUGCUUGGUGUAGAGGUGAAAUUCGUAGAUAUCAAGCGGAACACCGGUGGCGAAGGCGGCCUUCUGGACAGUGACUGACGCUGAGAUGCGAAAGCGUGGGUAGCGAACAGG
rnacentral:rRNA from 1 species